GGGUGUGAUCAUACCAGCAUUAAUGCACCGGAUCCCAUUAGAACUCUGCAGUUAAGCACGCUUGGGCUAGAGUUGUACUGGGAUGGGUGACCUCCUUGGAAGUCCUAGUGUUGCACCCU
rnacentral:rRNA from 1 species